UGUCAGUCUCUGCAGCUGAGCCCCAGUUCCUAACUCUCUCUGCCUUCUGAAAACACACUGGCAGACUGAUCCACAAAGAGGGGAGGACGGGCAAACUUCGAGGGGGAGAACCUGGCAGCUGACACCCCCCGCAGCUCCUGACCAGAGGGCCCCAGGGGGAGAUUUUCACUGGUAUAGAAAGAAGAAGCACGGGACGAGGUUCAGGUAAAAAACAGGGCUCAUGGCAACUCAGGAAGAGGAAGAUGUGAGAUCACUCCUAUUGAUUUGCAGCCUCUGUGUUCCACAUGCAAGCCAAUGUGUAAUAUGGCUUUUUAUUCCUAUGUGAUGAUGAAAAAUAUUCAUGUAGGAAUAGAAGCUAUUUUACAUGUGGUGAGAGAGCAGCACGACACAAGAAAAUAGUUGCUGGCUGCCAAUGGAGACAGAUGCACGACUGGAUAAAUGUAUCAGUCUUCUGUUAAAUGCUUUCCUGUAGUAAGAAGGUACAUUUAUGCUCAUCUUUCAAAUGAUGAGUGAGCUCACUGACAUACAUAUUUGAGAGAGAGAAAAAAAGGAAGGAAGACAGAAAAAAAUGAAGUGAGACUUUGUUGUCUGUGCACCUGUUUCUUUCCUCCAGGCACAAGCAGCUAUCACUGCUUCGGCUGUUUGAUGUAUUUGGUGACAGAUGCCGUCCACGGGGAAGCCAGAAACAUUUGCAAAACAUCCCAAGAACAAAGGAGGAAAAGAGCAAUGAGAGACCAAUACAGAUCUUUAAUAACAAACUGUAAAACAGCCACUUAGUGAACCACAUUACAACCUGCAAGAGGCACGCAGUUUCCCUUUCUUUUCAAUGUCAUUCAUUUUGCACAUUAAUAAAAUAAAACUUUGUCAUGAAGCAUUACAUCAAACAAUAUCCUACCUACAAUACUAUACAAUGAAGGUACAUACAGUAUAAACAAGAUGAAGCACCUUUGUUGUCCUAGUAAAUACUAUUAAUAAUUAAACAUUUGGAGUUACAGACACA